rnacentral:rRNA from 1 species
AUUGAACGCUGGCGGCAGGCCUAACACAUGCAAGUCGAACGAGUGGCGAACGGGUGAGUAAGUUCUGGGAAACUGCCUGAGGGAGGGGGAUAACUACUGGAAACGUUAGCUAAUACCGCAUACCAUCGGAUGUGCCAAGAUGGGAUUAGCUAGUGGGUGGGGUAAAGUCUAACCUAGGCGACGAUCCCUAGCUGGUCUGAGAGGAUGACCAGCCACACUGGAACUGAGACACGGUCCAGACUCCUACGGGAGGCAGCAGUGGGGAAUAUUGCACAAUGGGCGCAAGCCUGAUGCAGCCAUGCCGCGUGUAUGAAGAGGGCCUUCGGGUUGUAAAGUACUUUCAGCGGGGAGGCGUUACCCGCAGAAGAAGCACCGGCUAACUCCGUGCCAGCAGCCGCGGUAAUUC